rnacentral:tRNA from 1 species
GGCGGAUGUAGCCAAGUGGAUCAAGGCAGUGA